rnacentral:rRNA from 1 species
GUGAGGAAUAUUGGUCAAUGGGCGGAAGCCUGAACCAGCCAUCCCGCGUGGAGGAAGACGGCCCUAUGGGUUGUAAACUUCUUUUCAAGGGGAAGAAAGUUCGCGACGUGUCGCGAUUUGCCGGUACCUUUGGAAUAAGCAUCGGCUAACUCCGUGCCAGCAGCCGCGGUAAUACGGAGGAUGCGAGCGUUAUCCGGAUUUAUUGGGUUUAAAGGGUGCGUAGGCCGAUCGAUAAGUCAGCGGUGAAAUACCAUGGCCCAACCAUGGAACUGCCGUUGAUACUGUCGGUCUUGAAUAUGGUCAAGGUAGGCGGAAUGUGUAAUGUAGCGGUGAAAUGCUUAGAUAUCAUCCAGAACACCGAUUGCGAAGGCAGGUGGCUGUACCUUAAUCGACGCUGAUGCACGAAAGCAUGGGGAGCAAACAGGAUUAGAUACCCCAGUAGUCC